CAAACUCCUUUUAAAUAUCCUUUGAAUUAUUUUGAUGAGUUUGUUAGUGUGCAGGAACAGCCAGCUGUAAGGAGAAAAACAACCAGAGAUGUGGCUGAUCCAAAAAGGCAACCCUUUCAAAUUGAUGUCCAACAAAUUUGUGAUAACCUUGUGAAGGGAGUGGACAAAGCCCUUAAGGACUUCAGCAAGAGCCAAAAGAAGAGCACAUCUACACGUGCCCCAGUAGCUGAGCCAUCCUUGUUCAUCAGUAAGAAAGCCCAAGGUGAAUCUGAAAACCAUUUUGAAGAACUUAUAGAUUUUUCAGAUUCUCUACCCAUUUUUGAUGAAUCUGAUGAAGAGCUAAUUGAAAGCUUGAUGUUUUGUGAAAAAGAUUGUGAUCUUCCUUCUCUUGAAACUGAGUUUAAUCUUGAUAAUGAACAAGCUAUUGUAGAACUAACUGUUUUGCAACCGGAGCUUCCGAGUAGUCUUGUUUUGUCUCCACAGGUUUUUGAGGAAGAGCCACUGGAUUUUCCACAUCAGUGCCCAUGUCUUGACACUAGGAUAUGUUUGGAUGAUGAUCUAGGUCCUAUCUUUGAUGAGGAGGACGAAACUGGUCCAGUCUUUGAUGAAGAAGCAACAAGCAUCACAUCCAUUGCUAUGGAGAAUUAUCUAUGCUUUGAUCCCGGCACAACUCCUGCCCCUUUACCUCCGGAUCUUCAAGAGCACUGUGAGGAACCUUCUUCUCUUAAUUCUCUGCCUGACAUGUUUGUGAAAGUCAGUACUGAUGAUGUAAUUCGUUUUGGUCUUGACAAGAUGAAAGAUUUUUUUGUUUCAAAAUCUGUUUUUGAUAACAUGAUUUAUUCUUUAAAAAUCUUUGAACCUGAUAAAUGUCUUGAUCAAUCACGUUUUCAAAGUGUCAAUGGCAUCACUUCUGGAAUUAUUUUGAGCUUUGAUCAGUUCUUGGAACAUAACAAAGGUUUUCAUCUUCUUGGAAGGCCAUUUGAUCUUGAUUUGCAACAAACUGAUUUUUGUGCUGAAAAAUCUCUUGAUUCGUUAGUUUGCAAAGGAAAUAGCUUUGAUCUGAGUUCUUCUAGACAUGUACUGAUCACUGAUGAAUUGUUUGCAUCCUCUUAUGCCUUGGACGAAAUUUUGAUUCAGAAGUUGCUGGAACAGAAAUCACUUGAAACUGAAAAUGAUUUUCGUGAUCUUGAAUUUUGUGGUUCUGUUUUGCAGCCUGAUCUCUUGAGUUUUGAAACUGAUAAUACUUGGCAUUUUCUGAGAUCAUUUCGUGAUAAUGGUGUUGUCUUGAGUUCUGAUGAUAUUUUGGUUUACAACACAUUCUUUGAGAAAUGCCUUGAACUUUUGAUAAAUGAUUCUCAAACUGAACUUAAGCUUGUGUGUUCAGAUGUUGGGAAGGAUAUGCCCAUUUUGAAAAUGAAUACUGUUGUUGCAUAUCUUGAUAAAAUUCUUGUCUGUAAUAUUUACUUUGAUGAGCACCUUGAAAGGCUGAAAAAUGUGCAAUUUGUUCUUGGAAAAGAUAUCUUGAUUUGUGAUUUGAACAAAUAUUUAUCUUGCACAUUUGAUCCUGGUCUUUUAGUGUUUGUUUUGAGUAUCCAGGAAAGACAGGUUCAGCCUCUGAAUGAAAGCAUUGGCCGUGCCCAACAACCUCAGAUUUGGAGAAGCUUUGUUGUUCAAACCGGCUACCUUGGUGCCAGCGACAGAGGUUCAGUCCAAGAAAGAUAUCUCAACAGUACGAAGGUCUUUUGUCUUGAAUCCAAUUUUACAAGAAAGCCAACUCAUCAAGGAUUCACUGAGGCUUGGAAUCGCAUGAAAAGCUUCACGGAUGAAGAAGUUAUGAAUUUUCCAAACCGGAGGUUCUUCAGUCCAUCUAUCCGCGAGUACCAGAUUUCUAAAGGAGAUUCAUGUCCCAGAAAGAAUCGACCUGAGCCAAAACCGAUCCUCCAUGAACCAAAGGUGUUUCCUCGGUCAUUCUCCUGUCUAAACCAAAAGCACUGUAAGGAUCAUGAGUUGAUUGCCUUUACUCUUCAUGAAAAUGUUUUGAAACCGAGAAUUUCAAAAAGAAAACAUAUUCUUACUUGGUUGAAAAACGUUUUGCUCAAACCUUUUCAUGAAUUGAUUUCAUUGAGCUGUGCUUUGAAAGAGAUUUGGUGUAGGAAAAAGCAUGAACUAAAAUUGCUUAGGCCAAAGAAUUCAUUUGAUUUCGUUCAUGAUGAUAAUUUUUCAAAUUUUGCAUUGUCUCUUUCUUUCCAUAACAGUUUCUCACCUUGGCCUGAUUUUGAGAUUGAUAAAUCAAUUUUUGGCAACCAGCUUACUUGCUUAAUGCUUGCCCACGUCCUUGAUGAUUAUCCUAAGGGCAUGGAUCCUGAUUUUGAUGUCUUAAGGAUAGAGAAACCCUUUGAUUAUUUCUUUGGCAGAUUUGAUGUGGUUUCUCUAGUUGCUUUGGAUAAACAGGAUAAGCAUGAUCAGUUUCUAAGGAGAGCAAGCACCAAUGGACGCCAAAGUACUUGGAAUUCCUUGAUAAAAAUGACUUCAAAACUCCAAGGAAGUUUCUGUCCAUUCUAUUCAUUUACUGAAUUUCCCUUGAAUUUUAAUUUCUUUGUAUCUGAUUUAUCUCUUUUUGAUAUAGGUACAUUGGAUUUGAGGACAAAUCCUUUUGAAGAAAGAGGGAAUGAUAGAACGCGGUCCACGGAUCUGUACAUGGAGCCGAACCAUCAUGAAGUUCAGGACGUUCUGAAGUUUUCAACCGAGGUUCAUGAUUUUCACCAUACUGGCCAGACUGACCGGACUGUCCCAAAUGCAUCCGGAUGUGAGCUUUGGCUGGAACCAUGGCCAGAUGAUCGAUUUCACUGUACUGGACUUUGUCUUGACCGUCCUGUUUUCCAUUUGAUGAAGAACAGUCGAGACGUAAUCGCAUUCGGACGCACGGAUCCUGAGUUAGGUCAUUGCUAUACAUUUCUGGACAGUACCACAUGUACAGCCCGGAUGUCCAGUUUGAGGCUUCAUCAAUACCCAUGUCCAGACGAUCGAAUUCACCGAACUGGAGCUCGUAUUUCCCGUACUGAUUGACAUUUUAAGAGCAACGGUCGAGACAGAUUUGGAUUCGGACGAGUGGAACUCAAGAUAGGCCGUGACACUUCAAAACUGGCUACUUUGGACUGUCCUGCUUGUGUACUGGCCCAGUCCGCAGGACAUGCUUCAGGAAGCAAUGAACCUGGACGGAAUUUGAAGGGUUUUUCACUAGUCAAAGUGUGAUUUCGUGCCUUGACCAGAUCUGGUCAAUUUUAUCAUUUUCUAUGUUUAGAUUUCCCACAUUUUUCUUUAAGUCUUUUGACUAGAACUUCUAUAUAAUGUAACCAUCAGAUCUGAAUAAGAUAAUUUCGUUUUUGCUUUCAUUCUUUUGAGUUUUUACUCUCUUUGUUCUUUGUUAGAACAUUUCUUAGUUUCUUGGUGAGGUUAUCUCCAAGUUUCGAUCCUUCUUUUGUUGGACCGGUGCGUCACAUCCGGCAACGAUCGAAGUCUGGUAGUAUCUUUGGGCUAUUCCGCAACCCUUAGUGUCACCGUUCAUACCAUCAGUUCUCAAUCUUCUCGGAUCUGAGUUCAUAUCAACCUUACCGAAAGAGUGAUCCUUAUUUUGGUUCUAUCAAGUGGUAUCAGAGCCACUCUCUCGGUAACUCUAUUAUCAUUCCAUCUUCUCAUCUCUCCAUCUUCUUCAAACACUUCUUCUUCUACCUUUCUUAAAUCCGGGCCCCUCAUUACCAUCCAUAUAUAUAUAAAAAAAAGAUUUACGAUUUGAUUCAAAAAAAAAAAGAAAAAAAAAGAAAAAGUUCAAAGUUUGUUUUGUGGAUUGGUGGUGGAAGAGAAAGCCUGCUGGCUGAGGAGAAAUCCAGCCUUUGAGGUGGUUAAAACGGAUUUCAAAAAUCAAAAAUCUCUUAUCUUUCUAUCUUGAGAAAAUUCCCUUGUUUGCUUGGAUUUUCCCAUUGGGAUUCUUUGAUUUGUUCUCUUAGAACAUUGAGUAAAAACUUGUGUGUGAUCACCUAAAUCUGAGAGAAACACUUGUGUGGGUGAGGAUCAAACACUUGAGAGUGUGAGGUUUUUAUCUACUAACUUUGUGUUGAGAUUUUCAGGUUUAUGAUGUUUGGUUUGCAAAGGAAAAGUAACAAGGAGAAGCCUCAACGAAAUUCUAACUCUCAAACUCCUUUUAAAUAUCCUUUGAAUUAUUUUGAUGAGUUUGUUAGUGUGCAGGAACAGCCAGCUGUAAGGAGAAAAACAACCAGAGAUGUGGCUGAUCCAAAAAGGCAACCCUUUCAAAUUGAUGUCCAACAAAUUUGUGAUAACCUUGUGAAGGGAGUGGACAAAGCCCUUAAGGACUUCAGCAAGAGCCAAAAGAAGAGCACAUCUACACGUGCCCCAGUAGCUGAGCCAUCCUUGUUCAUCAGUAAGAAAGCCCAAGGUGAAUCUGAAAACCAUUUUGAAGAACUUAAAGAUUUUUCAGAUUCUCUACCCAUUUUUGAUGAAUCUGAUGAAGAGCUAAUUGAAAGCUUGAUGUUUUGUGAAAAAGAUUGUGAUCUUCCUUCUCUUGAAACUGAGUUUAAUCUUGAUAAUGAACAAGCUAUUGUAGAACUAACUGUUUUGCAACCGGAGCUUCCGAGUAGUCUUGUUUUGUCUCCACAGGUUUUUGAGGAAGAGCCACUGGAUUUUCCACAUCAGUGCCCAUGUCUUGACACUAGGAUAUGUUUGGAUGAUGAUCUAGGUCCUAUCUUUGAUGAGGAGGACGAACCUGGUCCAGUCUUUGAUGAAGAAGCAACAAGCAUCACAUCCAUUGCUAUGGAGAAUUAUCUAUGCUUUGAUCCCGGCACAACUCCUGCCCCUUUACCUCCGGAUCUUCAAGAGCACUGUGAGGAACCUUCUUCUCUUAAUUCUCUGCCUGACAUGUUUGUGAAAGUCAGUACUGAUGAUGUAAUUCGUUUUGGUCUUGACAAGAUGAAAGAUUUUUUUGUUUCAAAAUCUGUUUUUGAUAACAUGAUUAAUUCUUUAAAAAUCUUUGAACCUGAUAAAUGUCUUGAUCAAUCACGUUUUCAAAGUGUCAAUGGCAUCACUUCUGGAAUUAUUUUGAGCUUUGAUCAGUUCUUUGAACAUAACAAAGGUUUUCAUCUUCUUGGAAGGCCAUUUGAUCUUGAUUUGCAACAAACUGAUUUUUGUGCUG
rnacentral:lncRNA from 1 species